rnacentral:rRNA from 1 species
GACAGAGGAGGCAAGCGGUGUUCGGAAUCAUUGGGCUUAAAGGGCGUGCAGGCGGGCGCGUAAGUGUCCUGUGAAAUCCCACGGCUCAACCGUGGAACUGCGGGGCAAACUGCGUGGCUUGAGGUCGGUAGAGGUGCUUGGAACUCUAGGUGGAGCGGUGAAAUGCGUAGAUAUCUAGAGGAACGCCAGGAGCGAAAGCGGUGCACUGGGCCGAUUCUGACGCUGAGACGCGAAAGCGUGGGGAGCAAACAGG